UUUUACUUACGGAAACAAACGAUGCAACUUUCCAUUUCCGUCUUUAAAUCACGUGAGGAAUCAUUGGGCCACGAGGUUGAUCAGAAGAAGCCUGGUCUUGAAACGGAGGGGUGGAAAGCACAUAUUGCGGACGAUGACAUGUGCUUUUGAUAAGAAUUAUUAAUAGAACCAUAAGAGACUAUGCCAGUUAAAACAUUGGAAGAGGAUUCAGUGAAUAUGGUAUAGAUCAAAGAACUGACAUGAGUGUUUAUGAAACAGAACAGAUAGAAGAGCAUGAUCCUUGUUAUAUUGAGUCAGGAGGAAGAAAGAUGGACGGAGUGAAGAACUGAUGUGUGUUGGCAGAAGAUGAUGGUACAACUUCUGAUAAUCCUUUUUCAUUUUGAUUCUUAGAACUCGUGUAAUUGCAUAAUGUAAUCACCAGGGUGCUCUUUUCUCAAAAAUCUUACGACUGAAAUUGAUCGCAAGUUAUGCUGAAAUGUUUGACUUGCAAGUGUUUUCUUAAAAGAUUUGUUGUGAAAUGAGUCCCAGGAUUUGAAAACCAGUAUAUAUAUUCUACAGAGAACAAAUGAUGAUUAACAUUCUGCCAAAUGAACUAUGUGAUUAUAAUCCAAGCCCGUAUAUUUUAUCUGAUGUUUUCUGUUUUUGGGUAUAUUGAUGAUUUGCUUUAGAUUUCUCAACCAUUAUAAAAUAAUAAUACUUCAAACAGAACAAAAUACUGUGAACUCUGAAACUUUUUCAAUAUUAUUAAUAAUUGAAAAAAUUGUACCGUAGUUUAAGUACUAGUAGUUUGAUUUUGAUAGCAUUAUUCGUAUGGAGCAUUUCCUUAAAUAGUAAAAUUUAAUCUUCUAUGUUGUUCAUGGUUCAACAAUCUCGAUAAUAAAUAAUGCACACAGGAAUUUCUGAAUUUACAUUCAUAUGAUUGAAAACACAGGACAUAGUUCAUUUCUUGUAUUUUGAAAAAAAUUCUGUGCCGGUUUUUUUUUUUAAAGCUUUUUAUGCACAUACAUGUAGAUUAAAAAGGUAGAUUAAUUUUUUUUUCUGUUAACAGAUAGAUAAAUGAAUUUUUAGAAAGAAAUAUUAAGUAGAGAUUAUAAAACUUUUGUAAUUUAGUAAUGGAUUAAAAUUAGUUUUGUCU